rnacentral:tRNA from 1 species
CAUUAAGAAGCUAAAUGAGCAUUAACCUUUUAAGUUAAAGACUGGGGGUUUAAAUCUCCCCUUAAUGA